GUGAGGAAUAUUGGACAAUGGGCGCAAGCCUGAUCCAGCCAUGCCGCGUGCAGGAAGACGCAUCUAUGGUGUGUAAACUGCUUUUGUACGGGAAGAAACACUCCCUCGUGAGGGAGCUUGACGGUACCGUAAGAAUAAGGAUCGGCUAACUCCGUACCAGCAGCCGCGGUAAUACGGAGGAUCCAAGCGUUAUCCGGAAUCAUUGGGUUUAAAGGGUCCGUAGGCGGUUUAAUAAGUCAGUGGUGAAAGCCCAUCGCUCAACGAUGGAACGGCCAUUGAUACUGUUAGACUUGAAUUACAAGGAAGUAACUAGAAUAUGUAGUGUAGCGGUGAAAUGCUUAGAUAUUACAUGGAAUACCAAUUGCGAAGGCAGGUUACUACUUGUGGAUUGACGCUGAUGGACGAAAGCGUGGGGAGCGAACAGGAUUAGAAACCACAGUAGUCC
rnacentral:rRNA from 1 species